UACGGAGGAUGCAAGCGUUAUCCGGAUUCAUUGGGUUUAAAGGGUGCGUAGGCGGCUUUUUAAGUCAGCGGUGAAAUUUUUGCAGCUUAACUGUAACAGUGCCGUUGAUACUGGGGAGCUAGGAUUUGGUUGCUGUGGGUGGAAUGUGUGGUGUAGCGGUGAAAUGCUUAGAGAUCACACAGAAUAUCGAUUGCGAAGGCAGCUCACAAAGCCAAGAUUGACGCUGAGGCACGAAAGUGUGGGGAUCAAACAGGA
rnacentral:rRNA from 1 species